rnacentral:lncRNA from 1 species
AUGAGGAUAAUUGUGUGCUGAAAGUUGUCAGGGCACAGUAUUACAGUUGGAGAUUAUGAGGGUGAAUAUAUUAGUGGAAAUAGUAGUUAUUGGUAUGAUUGAAUUGCUGUAAGGAAGAGACCGAUAAGGUGAAGGAUGAGAUUAUAGUUUCCUUGUGUGUUUAGAUAUUGGAAAUAGAGACGAUACAUUCAAGAGGUAAUUGAUUGUGUGAUCCUAACGUGAAUGCUUAAGCAACUAGUCAUUUUCCGUGUUUGAAUCCUUUAUA